UCUGUCGCAGGUCGUCUGCGCCGAAUGACGGGCUGAGCUAUAUCUGGGAGAAACGUCUGCUGGGGGAGAUGCGAGGUUGCGCGUCGCUGUCCAUUCACAAACUGGUGGCUCCAAGAAAAAACAAACUUUGAAAACUUUGAUUAAACUUGUUUCUGGAAGCGACUGGAGCUUACUGAACUUCAUUGGGUUUAAGAGAAAUGUUUCAAAACAAACAUUGGAAACUGUUUUAGUAAAUUAAGUAACGCGCGACUUAGCAGGACUCAGCACAACCCAGUACUCAUCCAGCAAGAUUUUACACGCUGAAAGAAAACAGAGCGACACGACUGAUACAACAGAGAAACAACAAAAACAAAACAAGACAAGGUAA